rnacentral:rRNA from 1 species
AAGUAACGAUAAAGCGGGUGAAAAGCCCGCUCGCCGGAAGACCAAGGGUUCCUGUCCAACGUUAAUCGGGGCAGGGUGAGUCGACCCCUAAGGCGAGGCCGAAAGGCGUAGUCGAUGGGAAACAGGUUAAUAUUCCUGUACCAGGUGUUACUGCGAAGGGGGGACGGAGAAGGCUAUGUUGGCCGGGCGACGGUUGUCCCGGUUUAAGCGUGUAGGUGUGUGUUCCAGGUAAAUCCGGUUCACUUUAACACUGAGGCGUGAUGACGAGGCACUACGGUGCUGAAGCAACAAAUGCCCUGCUUCCAGGAAAAGCCUCUAAGCAUCAGGUAACAUCAGAUCGUACCCCAAACCGACACAGGUGGUCAGGUAGAGAAUACCAAGGCGCUUGAGAGAACUCGGGUGAAGGAACUAGGCAAAAUGGUGCCGUAACUUCGGGAGAAGGCACGCUGAUAUGUAGGUGAAGCGAUUUACUCCUGGAGCUGAAAUCAGUCGAAGAUACCAGCUGGCUGCAACUGUUUAUUAAAAACACAGCACUGUGCAAACACGAAAGGACGUAUACGGUGUGACGCCUGCCCGGUGCCGGAAG